GUUAGCACUCUAUCUCCCUCUUUCUUUUUUUUCCUAUAGCAAAAGGAGGGCCUAGGGUUUAUGCUACGGGUUGAGUACACUGGUUUACGCCAUUGAAGUUGCUUCAAAGUUGCUACAUUUCUUUAACAACAAGGCAAGGCUUCCUUGAUGCUACGGGUUGUCCAAAUUUUAGGGCUUUGAGAGUAACCGGUUUACGCCAUUGAAGUUGCUUCAAAGUUGCUACAUUUCUUUAACACCAAGGCAAGGCUUCCUUGAAAAUGACCCUCAUGGCCAAAACUAGACCGGAGAGAAAGGACGUGGAUUCUUACACGAUCAGAGGCAACAACAAAGUCGUCAGAGUGGGGGAUUGGGUGCUGAUGGGCCCAUUGGUCACCGGUAUGCCCCCAUGCUUGGCAUGCAUCAAGAAGAUUGAAGCCUAGGACGACUGGAGCAAUGCGAAAGUGAGAGUGAGGUCGUACUAUAGGCCAGAGGAGUCGAUCAGAGGACGUAGAAAGUUUCAUGAAGGCAAAGUUGAUGCUGGAGAGCUUGCACCAGACAUAGUUGCUGUACAUUGCAAGUGUGAGAUGCCGUAUAAUCCGGAUGAACUCAUGUGAAGUGCGAAGGGUGCAGGGAACGGUAAUCUUUUUGACUUCUUUACUUUCUUUCUCAAUGUGUUGCACAUUUUUUGAGAUCCGAGUUUUUGAGUGUGUUGUGUUACUUGAAAAUUGUUCGCAAAAGAAACAUUAACUAGGUUAUCUAUCUGUAAUAAUGGCUCUAACAAUUGCAGUCAUGAUCUUGAGAGCACUUGUUUAGCAGGCAUAUGCAAACAACAUAAGCACUCCAUUUGUGUGUAUGUUCAAUUUAAACAGGGAAAUGCUUGGAGAGCUUGUUGAUAAUUUAGGUCCUGUAGAUACUCGAGCAACAUCUCCUAUUCAUAGAUCUGUGCCUGCCUUUAUACAGUUAGAAAAAAAAAAUUUCAAGGGAAUUAUCUGGUGGCUACUGAAUCUUGUUUGGAAGAAAUUUGGGUCCUUUUUGCAACAUAAUUUGGCUCUACCUUAUGUAAAUCUUAAAUACCCUAAUAGAUACAUGAUUUUAUUUUACCAUUGACGACACAUACGUAUAGGUAUCAUCUGCUUGCAUUGGCUUGACCAUUGUAGAAGCAAAAAAAUUGGAAAGCUUUGUUUUGUUUAGAAUGUUCGUCUAAAGUGGAUGUGAUUAAGGCCCCAGAGCCAGAAUGCAUUUUCAGCAUCACCAGAAGCUGAUGCAAAGGUGCGGCUUAUCAUGAUGGAGUUUUGGUUAUUUUAUGUUAUUCUGAGCUCUUUUCUAAUUUCAGUCUCUUUUCCAAGAGUGCGGCUAUACUCUGUGUUUUUUAAUUUUUUUAAAGUGGACA